rnacentral:miRNA from 1 species
AGCUUUCUCAUCGAUUGGAAGGGGUUCCUUCCAGUCGAUGAGGAGGCUGAACCUCACCAACAGGAAGGAAUCCCUUCCGGUUGAUGAGGUAUAGCUUCCUCAUCAACCGGAAGGACUCUCCUUCGGUCAAUGAGGAAGCU